GGCAAAAGCCCUCCUUAAACCCAAGGAGGCAAAGGACACAGCAGGGCAGAGGGGGGGAAGCAAAACCCACAGUAGUCGUGACGGAAGGCCAACGCUUUGCUGCAUUUUUCUAGGGUUUCUCUUUCACAUGGCUUCGAUGCUCAUUCCUACGGAAGAGUUUUUUCUUGCAAAAUGGUCACUUCCCUUAAGAUUUGAAGAUAGAGGUGAUGCCUACUCUAUCAGCUUUCAACUGUUCAAGCUUUAUACAUGAGUGAAUAUUCUAUCCCUUACACCGCUACUGGAAUAUGUGAACUUAUAAGUAUAUAGCGUGUGGAAUGGGGGAAUGAAGCCAUUGGUCCGUGGAGCUCAUUUUUUUGGUUGUUUCAUGUUCACAUCACCUGUAAUGGUAUUUACAGAUCAAUUUUUUUUUGUAUCCCUGCUGUGCUGACAAUCUUACUUCUUAUUUUGUUUUAUCUUAUGAAUUUCCGAACUGGAUCUACUGCUGUAGUUGGAAACCUAACAUAUUAGUUCAUCAAAUGAAAUAUCACCUAUCAUUUAUAUAA